rnacentral:lncRNA from 1 species
CAAAACUAGGUAUUUUUAUCUCUUUUUAAAACUAUCUUUCACUCCCUGACUUCUAUAUUUUUAUUGGUACUUUUCAUUUUUAAAGGUAUGCUGAAAAGUAUAAGGAGUUCGUGAGAAAACGAGAGGCGAAACGAGAAAAGUUGAAACGACGGAAUGAAAUCCGGAAACAACAAAUGCGUGAAGCAAGGGAAAGACAACUUGCUGAGAAAGAAGAAAGAGAGAGGAGGAGAGCGGAAGCACCUGAAUUGUUCGAAGAAGAAACACAGAUGGGUGAUGAAGAUUUGCUGAAGAAAGGUCGCAUGGAAGUAAUUGACCUAGAAAGUAACCGCGAUUUCUCGGUAGCACAAGUUGCUGAAUACCAGUGGCCCUUGCAAGGUGGAGAAUGGUACAUGAUCCAAGAGCAGGUAACCCAAUUUGGGCGUUAA